ACCAUCUCGGUGACAGGAAAUGUGGUGUUUAGGCCGUACCUUGUCCCGACACGUCUCUCCUCAAGUCCACUUGAUUGUGGCCCCAGGCCCAGAGAGGGUGUAAGGCCCGUGGAGGCGAGACGUUCGGUACCUGGUGCGUCCUUAGAGUCGGGUUGUUUGGGAAUGCAGCCCUAAGCGGGUGGUAAACUCCAUCCAAGGCUAAAUACCAGCACGAGUCCGAUAGCGAAGAAGUACCGCGAGGGAAGGUUGAAAAGAACUUUGAAGAGAGAGUUCAAGAGUACGUGAAACCGCUGAGAGGCAAACUGGUGGAACUGAAAUGGUCCCGAGGAAUUCAGCCGUUGGUCGUUGCACAGUCUUUGGUGAUUGAUCUAACGACGGCGCCAUUGAAUGACGUUUCGAUCAUCGGUGCACUUUCCUCGCCUGGGCCCGACCACGACCGGUGAGCUGAUCUGUCUGUCGUGCUUGGAAGAUAGCGCCGUCUUCGGAAGGCGUGUUAUAGACAGGCAUACGGAGCAGUCGGCGCACUGGAUGAUAGUGCCUGCCCAUCUGGGCUCAUAUGGUGGUUGUUUUGUUGGCGAGUUCUGAUGUCACUACUUCGGUAGAGUCGUUAGACUCUGUUGGCAUUAUGGCUGUCCUCUAUGAUUGGCACUGUUAAGUCUGUGGUUGUGAAGUAGGUAGUCCACCUGACCCGUCUUGAAACACGGACCAAGGAGUCUAACAUGUGCGCGAGUCAUUGGGUUCACGAAACCUAAAGGCGCAGUGAAGGUAAAGAUCUGUUUUGGCAGAUUGAGGUGGGAUGCCGGGUUACGCGCCCGGCCGCACUACCGGCCCGUUCUAUAUGUCUUUCAUAGGAGCGGAGCAAGAGCGUACACGUUGGGACCCGAAAGAUGGUGAACUAUGCUUGCGCAG
rnacentral:rRNA from 1 species